CCUGUCUGCAUGGCAUGGCUGUUGCUGUGUGUUGAACCAAGUGCUGUGGUCGAGGUGGACAGCCUGUUAGCAGCUUCAGCCACGGUGGAAGAUCUGGGCUCCUGACCUGUGUGCAGCAUACACAGACGUAUCUUGUGUUAGAGAAUUACCUUAAAAUUAUGAUUACUGUGUAUUUUGGACUGCUUUAAACAAACAGUCCUAAUCCAACACCCAGUCAACAGAAAGUCUUCAUUCAUUUCCAG